rnacentral:lncRNA from 1 species
AAGGAGAGGCAGGGGACCGAACCUGGAGAUCCGCAACAUGGCAGCCUUCAGGCCCCACCCUGUGACAUCGCAGAGGCGCAGAGAGGACAGAGGGGGCUGCCUCAAGGUCACGCCUAGAAGUCCCCCAUCUUCAAGGGCUGCAGCUGGAAAAGACUUUUCACUUGGAAUCCUUCCGAUGCAGAUGUGUGAAGACUCUGGUAGCGACAUCUCGGGGACUGAGCAUCUUCUAUUGAUUGGAAAAACACACACAGCACCAGUGAGUUUGCAGAGCACACGCCGCAUUUUUCAGGGUUUGGGCAGGCGGAAAGCCAGCCGCGGGGCCUCAGCGCCCCCUGGGAGCCAUAGCCGGUAGUGCUCCCUGACGGAGCAGAAGGAGCCCAGCGGGCGGCUGGGAGGGAGGGAAGCCGGGCACCCUCAGAGGCAGGCAGCCCUGCGGGAGGCUCGAAGAAGAGCCACGCACGCCCAGCCCUGCCAGUGCAUCCCUGUGUGGCUUUGGGCAAAUCACAUCACCUCCCUGGUCUCCAGCUUCCCCACUGUAAACUUGGGGUACAGCCUGUGUGCACCCCACGGCCUUUGGAAUGGGCUGUGUGACCUCCUGCAAGCCACGAACCUCUCGGUGCGUCACGUUCUUGGCAGGGACAGCUGCCCACCCGCGGAGCGGCUGGUAGAGCUGCAGCAAAAAAUGAGCAGCCAACUGCCACGCACAGGUCUCUUUGAAUUUGAUCGAUGGACACAGCCCAGCCUCGGGGGCCCCUCUGGGUUCGACCAGCAGGCAGGAAAGACACAGGAACAAGGACCAAAGACGACCUGGAGUCUAAGCACCAAGGACAGACGGGUGUCCCUGGCAGGAGCCUGAGCUGCGGGAACCAGGGGCCUCGGCUGUGAGUCCCUGCCCUUCUUCCUCUGGGGGAUCCCCUCUGCUGCCCAGGACAGCUUGCCAGCCACCUGCUCCAGAAGCCUCCUGGCCCCAUUGUGAGCCCUUCAUCAGGCCGAGUGGAGGACCGUCACCGUGGGUAGGGAGAGGAGCAGCCGGAGCCCAGAGAAAGAAGUGGAAGCUCAGAGCGG